rnacentral:rRNA from 1 species
UUGGAGGGCAAGUCUGGUGCCAGCAGCCGCGGUAAUUCCAGCUCCAAUAGCGUAUAUUAAAGUUGUUGCAGUUAAAAAGCUCGUAGUUGAAUUUCGGGAUCAGAGUGUCGGUCGUGCCUCGGUACGCACUGGUAUUAUUGGUUCCUACCUUCUGAAGAACCGCGAUGUCAUUAAUUUGGUGUCGUGGGGAAUCAGGACUGUUACUUUGAAAAAAUUAGAGUGUUUAAAGCAGGCUUACGCUUGAAUACAUUAGCAUGGAAUAAUGAAAUAGGACGUUUGAUUCUAUUUUGUUGGUUUCUAGGAUUGACGUAAUGAUUAAUAGGGAUAGUUGGGGGCAUUAGUAUUCAAUUGUCAGAGGUGAAAUUCUUGGAUUUAUUGAAGACUAACUACUGCGAAAGCAUUUGCCAAGGAUGUUUUCAUUAAUCAAGAACGAAAGUUAGGGGAUCGAAGACGAUCAGACACCGUCGUAGUCUUAACCAUAAACUAUGCCGACUAGGGAUCGGAUGAUGUUAAUUUUUUAAUGACUCAUUCGGCGCCUUACGGGAAACCAAAGUGUUUGGGUUC